GAUGAACGCUGGCGGCGUGCCUAAUACAUGCAAGUCGAGCGAAUGGAUUGAGAGCUUGCUCUUAUGAAGUUAGCGGCGGACGGGUGAGUAACACGUGGGUAACCUGCCCAUAAGACUGGGAUAACUCCGGGAAACCGGGGCUAAUACCGGAUAACAUUUUGAACCGCAUGGUUCGAAAUUGGAAGGCGGCUUCGGCUGUCACUUAUGGAUGGACCCGCGUCGCAUUAGCUAGUUGGUGAGGUAACGGCUCACCAAGGCAACGAUGCGUAGCCGACCUGAGAGGGUGAUCGGCCACACUGGGACUGAGACACGGCCCAGACUCCGACGGGAGGCAGCAGUAGGGAAGCUUCCGCAAUGGACGAAAGUCUGACGGAGCAACGCCGCGUGAGUGAUGAAGGCUUUCGGGUCGUAAAACUCUGUUGUUAGGGAAGAACAAGUGCUAGUUGAAUAAGCUGGCACCUUGACGGUACCUAACCAGAAAGCCACGGCUAACUACGUGCCAGCCGCCGCGGUAA
rnacentral:rRNA from 1 species